ensembl:lncRNA
AGUACCGUAAGCUCCCGGGUAAUGCCAUGCUCCAAGAAAGCAGUACCGUAAGCUCCCGGGUAAUGCCAUGGUUCAAGAAAGCAGUACUGUAAGCUCCCGGGUAAUGCCAUGGUUCAAGAAAGCAGUACCGUAAGCUCCCGGGUAAUGCCAUGGUUCAAGAAAGCAGUACCGUAAGCUCCCGGGUAAUGCCAUGGUUCAAGAAAGCAGUACCAUAAGCUCCCGGGUAAUGCCACGAUCCAGGAAAGCAGCACCGUAAGCUCCCGGGUAAUGCCACGAUCCAGGAACGCAGUACCGUUAGCUCCCCGGGUAAUGCCAUGAUCCAGGAAAGCAGUACCGUAAGCUCCCGGGUAAUGCCACGAUCCAGGAAAGCAGAAAGUCUUUGCCUCUAACACAUCACAGACAAUGGCCACCCUGAGAGGAGGAGGUCAUGGAUUCCCAGUUUCUCAGAGCCAGUGACCCUGGAUGGUGGUGGGCCUGUGGGGCUUGGUCUGUGGGGCUUGGUCUGUGGUCCGUGGUGGUGGGUCUGUGGGGCUUGACCUGUGGGACGCUUCAGAGGUUGAGUUGGAAGCACUGGGGUGUGGAGUAAAUCCUCAUCGGAGGGCCCCGGUAAAGUCAUGCGGCUCAGAGAAGAAAAACAGUUAGACAGUCACAAGUCCAGAUGAGAGGGGAGAGGGAUGAUGCAUUAGAAAUAGGAGAGGAGGAUUAUUCCAACUCCACUUUACUUUCGAUGGAGUAGAGCGAAGCGUAGUAGAUUUCCAAUUAUCGUCAGUGGGAUAUGUUAAUAUGGGAAAGUGGACCAAGGUAGUAUCCUCCGUAUCUACUGCAGAUGAGCCCAGUCUCAUAGAGCACCCUGGAUUUCCCCCUCAUUUAGAAUUGUUGAAUCAAAAACAGCAUACAAUCUUGAAGUUUCCUUAGCCCGAUGUUUUCUUAGGACCUUCUCCUUUGAGGCAUGGAGCUGUCAGCUCCUCUUCCACUUUGACUAUAAUGAACAUAUCACAGGUCUCACAUGGAUCUGUUUAUCACAAGUAUGUAGGUCAGUAUAUGCUUCCUCUCACAGGUCUGACAUUUUAUGGCUUUGCUGUCCAUCUCAGAAUCCGACUCCAAAACAGAGGAGUCUGUCUGACAUGUUUAUGCUCAGGUCAGAAACUGUGGUCCCGGCUACAAAAGACAACCGCGACGUGAGCCAAGCUUUGCCUGUUACAGCCAGGUAAUCUAGAUAGUCAAAGCUAGCCUGCUAAUGCUAGCUCCAGGGGAUGGCAAGAAAUCCAGCCGAACACUGCGUCUUAACAACAGCACUAACACAGUGAUCUCGGAAACAAUGGUGUUUAAAGUAUCAAAGGUGUCUUAGAGCAGCUAAGUGUUUUUAAAGUAUAAAACACAGAAGCAUUGAACCGUCAUCCAAAGAGUUGUACUUUUGACUCAUCUGUCCAUAGAACAUUCUUCCAGUCUUGAUGAUCAUCCAGAUACUUUUUGGCAAACUUGAGUCAACUUUUGGGACAAGAUGGGUCCCAUUAUAUCUGGCGCAAACCAACCACUGCAUUCCAUAGUAAGAACAUACCAAUGGUCAAGCAUGGUGGUGGUAGUGUGAUGGUUUGGGGAUGCUUUGCUGCCUCCGGACCUGGACGACUUGCCUUCUUCUUCUUCUUCUUCUUCUUCCUUGAAUUCUACAGGAGAAUGUCAUGCCAUCCGUCUGUGAGCUUUAUUUGCUCGUCGAUGUAGUCUCGUCAGGGAGCCCCCUCGUUUGCCUCUCUUGCACAGUCUCUUACUCUUUCGAGUCCAGGGGAUUAGGGCCUGGUCCGGAAUGACCAGUACAUCCACAACUGCCAACUCGAUGACGUAGAACUCUUCAUCCAAAUCGAGGUCAGUGAUUGCUGUUCUGAUGUCCAGAAGCUGUUUUCGGUCAUAGUGGCGGAAAUAUUAUAUACAAAAAAAAACAGCAUUCUCACAUAGGUGUUCCUUUUGUCCAGGUGGGAAAGGGCAGUGUGGAGUGCAAUAGAGAUUGCAUCAUCUGUGAAUCGGCGGUAUGCAAAUUGGAGUGGGUCUAGGGUUUAUGGGAUGACGGUGUUGAUGUGAGUCAUGACCAGUGUCAUGACGUUGGCCUGGGGGUAGGUUUUUGACAGUCAUAAAUACCUCCCCCCCUUUUUCCUAUCUCUACCCUACGGAUGUGACAUUUGAAAUGUGAUUUUCUGGAUUUUUUUUCUCAUUUUGUCUGUCAUAGUUGAAGUGUACCUAUGAUGACAAUUACAGGCCACUCUCAUCUUUUUAAUUGGGAGAACUUGCACAAUUGGUGGCUGACUAAAUACUUUUUUGCCCCACUGUAUGUUUCACUUCCCAAGGCUUCCACUAGAUGUCAACAGUAUUUAGAACCUGUUUUGAGGAUUCUACUCUGGAGGGGCUCAUAAGGGCUCUUUGAGUGAGUGGUCUGGCAGAGUGCCACAGCCUCGGUCUGGCGCGCUCACGUGAAAGUUAGCUACGUUCCACUUCAUUUGUACAGACAAAGGAAUUGUCCGGUUGUAACAAAGUUACAGUUGAAGUUGAAGUUAUGAAAAUUGAUGUGGCUCUCUGCAAUAUCACCGGUGGUUUAAAGACCUACUGAACGUAACGCGCCAAUGUAAUCUCUGAUUUUUUAAAAUAUAAAUAUGAACUUUAUCAAACAAAACAUACAUGUAUUGUGUAACAUGAAGUCCUAUGAGUGUCAUCUGAUGAAGAUCAUCAAAGGUUAGUGAUUAAUUUUAUCUCUAUUUCUGCUUUUUGUGACUCCUCUCUUUGGCUGGAAAAAACGGCUGUGUUUUUCUGUGGCUUGGUGGUAACCUAACAUAAUCGUUUGUGGUGCUUUCGCUGUAAAUCCUUUUUGAAAUCAGACACUGUGGCUUGAUUAACAAAAAAAAUUAUCAGGUUUUUGCCUGCCAUAUGAGUUCUGUUAUACUCAUAGACAUCACGCAAACAAUUUUAGAAACAUCAGUGUGUUUUCAAUCCAAAUAUACUAAUAAUAUGCAUAUAUUCGCAACUGGGACUGAGAAGCAGGCAGUUUACUCUGGGCACCUCUGGGAACCUUAUUCAUCCAAUCUACUCAAUACUGCCCCCAGCCAUAAGAAGUUAAAGAGGGCUGUUUCUGCAUACAUCAAAACAUGUCACACCUGUCAAUUAACUGGUAAACCUAAUCAAGCUAUUAAGCCGGUACCACUGUUUCCUAUUCCUGUACUCAGCCAACCUUUUGAGUAUCUGAUUAUUGACGGUGUUGGUCCUCUGCCUCGCUCUAAGAAUGGUAGUAGUUACCUGUUCACUGUGAUGUGUCAGACCACUAGGUUUCCUGCUAUCAAUCCUCUCUGGUCUAUCACGACUAAGUCCGUGCUAAAGGUUUUGACCCAGUUUCUCACUGUUUGGAAACCCUAAAGUUAUUUAGAGUGACCAAGGUUCUAAUUUCACCUCUAAUCUGUUUGGUCAGCUUCUCCAUCAGCUCUAUAUUAAACACAAUUUGUCUAGCCCCUAUCACGCGCAAAGUCAAGGAGCACUAGAACGUUUCCAUCAGACACUCAAGUCUUUGUUGAGAGCUUAUUGUACAGAGAUGAAUAUGGAUUGGGAGGGGGAGUUUCUAUGGUUACUGUUUUGCCAGGGAGGUUUCAAAGGUUUCAGCCCAAAUACCUAGUGUUCGGACAUAGUGUGCGUGGGAUUCUAGCAGUGCUCCAGGAUGACUGGAAGUUUACCUUAGUCCCUGUUAUCUUAUGUGUGGGAUUUCUGGCAACACCUGUACUCCACUGGUGAGAUGGCUAAAGAGAAGAUCUCUUCACAGGGGAAGAUGAAAGGAAUAUUUGAUCGGCAAGCUGAGCCUCGUCACUUUAGUCCAGGUGACCAGGUUCUUGCUCUGCUGCCAAUUGUUGGUUCUCCUUUUCAAGCCAAGUUUCAAGGUCCAUACACUGAGCAAAACAAUCUAGGUGCUCCUCCAGAACGGAGGAAAGCGCGCCAACUGUGUCGCCACUCCAGAACGAAGGAAAGCAUACCAACUGUGUCGCCACUCCAGAACGGAGGAAAGCAUACCAACUGUGUCGCCACUCCAGAACGGAGGAAAGCAUACCAACUGUGUUGCCAUUCCAGAACGGAGGAAAGCUUACCAACUGUGUCGCCAUUCCAGAACGGAAGAAAGCAUACCAACUGUGUCGCCACUCCAGAACGGAGGAAAGCAUACCAACUGUGUCGCCACUCCAGAACGGAGGAAAGCAUACCAACUGUGUCGCCACUCCAGAACGGAGGAAAGCAUACCAACUGUGUUGCCAUUCCAGAACGGAGGAAAGCUUACCAACUGUGUUGCCAUUCCAGAACGGAGGAAAGCAUACCAACUGUGUCGCCACUCCAGAACGGAGGAAAGCAUACCAACUGUGUUGCCAUUCCAGAACGGAGGAAAGCUUACCAACUGUGUUGCCAUUCCAGAACGGAGGAAAGCGCGCCAGCUGUGCCAUGUAAAUCUGCUAAAACCCUAUUACCCACAUUCCUCUGGGGCCAAAGAGGAUGGUAAAACCUGUUAUAUUGGCCUGUACUGUUACACCACUGGGUUCUUCUUUUUGCCAUGCGAGGUCAAUGCAUGGUGAGGAGGAUGGCCCUGUUCCCGAUGAUUGCGUACUGCAGGGUAGAUUGAACAAUUCAGUCACUGGAUGUUUUGGAUAGCCUUCUUGCUCAUCUAACUGCUGAUAGGCGAGACAAAUUGUUUGGGCUGAUUCAGUGUUCCAGUUUUGUUUUCUGAUACACCUACACGUACAAACUUAAUAGAACACGAUAUUGACGUUGGGGAUGCUGACUCAUUCAUCAGCGGUUCUAUAGAGUUUCUUCAGAGAAACAGAGUUGUCUGGAUGCUGAGAUCAGGUACAUGCUGGAGAGUGCUAUAGCAGAGUCUUUCUCCAGCUGGGCUUCUCCCUGUGUCUUGGUCAGUAAACCGGAUGGGACAAACAGAUGUUGUACGGACUAUAGUAAGGUAAAUGGUGUCACCAAGCCAGAUUAAUUUCCUCUUCCUCAGAUGGAGGACUGCGUUGAUCAGGUCAGAGCAGCAAAGUGUGUGUGAGCACGUUAAAGGGCUAUUGGCAGGUGCCACUGACGAGUAUGUGAAAUCUCUGCCUUUAUUACACCCUCUGGCCUCAUAUUCAGUUAUGAGUUUCGGUCUGCAUAAUGCACCUGCCACUUUUCAGAGCCUUAUGAAUAGGGUUGUCUCCGGUCUGGUCGGGUGCGUUGUUAUCUGUUAAUCACUUCCUCUCUCUGUAUAUCUGGACGAUGCAGUGGUUUAUGCAGAUACUUGGGAGGAUUUGUCUCGUAUUGAAGCCUUGUUCGACCGCCUGGCUCCGUGUCACCUCACUAUCAAUCUGGCUAAAUGUGAGUUUGCUCAGGUGACCGUUACAUACCUUGGAAAGGUGGUUGGGCAGGGUGAAGUGCGUCUUGUUCGGCUAAAGUGGUAGCUAUUGAUGCUUUUCCACCACCAACUACUAAAUAGGAAUUGAUGCGUUUCUUGGGAAUGAUUGGUUAUUACCGUAGUUUCUGUAGGAAAUUCUUUACCAUAGUCGCUCCUCUGACAGAUUUGCUGAAAGCUAAGGCUGUUUACGUCUGGUCUCCUCUCUGUCAUCAGGAUUUUGUGGAUGCAAAGAGGUUGCUUACCUCAACUCUGGUGCUGGCUGUUCCUCGCAUGGAUUUGUGAUUCACCUUGCAGGUGGAUGCGAGUCACGCUGGCUGUUCCUCGCAUGGAUUUGUGAUUCACCUUGCAGGUGGAUGCGAGUCACGUGGAUUUGUGAUUCAAACUUGCAGGUGGAUGCGAGUCACGUGGGGGCAGGUGCACUCCUGCUGUAAUGUGUCCGGUGUUGAGGCCUGUUUCUUUUCCAAUAAGUUUAUUAAGCAUUAUCAUUUUAACUACUCCUUGGUGUAAAAAGAAGCGCUAGCAUUCAUAUGUGCGCUACAACACUUCGAGGUGUAGUCUGCUCGGGUGUAGUACCUAUAGUGGUCUACAGUGACCAUUACCCUUUAACCUUCUUGAGGUCUAUGUGUCCUAACCAGAGGAUAAUGAGAUGGUGUUUUUUUUGCAGGCAUUCCAUCUUGAUGUGAGGCACAUCCGGGGGACUGAUAACGUCGUUGCUGACGCGCUCUCUCGUGUGCCCUGUUCCUGAAGGCUUCUGGUCCUAUUGAUCGUUGUCCCAAGUGUAUGCAUGUCGUCCACGUGACUGGCCCCUGUUUAUUUUGUAUUUUGUGUUGUCCUGUUGCUCCUGUCUGUUCCCUGCUGUCCUCUUUUUUGUCAUUUCUCUUAAAGGUUGCUUCCUGUGCGCAAAGGUUGCUGAGGUCAGGGGAGGACGAAGUUGGCUGGGGCAGUGGGGUAGCGUUAACCAGGGCAGUAUUUUGUUAGUGCUUAUGUUUGGUUGGUGUGGUGUUCCGACAUCCUUGGUGGUCCCCGGUUUUAUGGGGGAGGGGGGUGUGACAACCCUCCCACUCUGUCUGCAGACCCUCCCACUCUGUCUGCCAAAUUAUUUCUCUUUGCUCUUGUUUUCCUUAAUAGGAUGUCGGUGGGUGGAGUCGGGUGUGUCCCGGGGAUAAAUGCACCUUUCCCUCAUAUAUUGAGGAGACUUUCUCCAUGCAGACACACUGUUGUUUUUGGUUGUGGCAAUUUGGGGCUUCUUUGUGUUAAUUUGUUUUGGCAAUUCUCAACAACACUCAUAAUCACCAAUUAUGCACACAUCCACUCACUUCCACUACUGACUACACACACCAUUGGUAAUUGUAUAUAGUUUACUGUAUUUAAUAAAUAUAUUUUUGUUAUUCCAUU